UUCCUCAAAUCAAGUAGGACUACCCGCUGAACUUAAGCAUAUCAAUAAGCGGAGGAAAAGAAACCAACAGGGAUUGCCUCAGUAACGGCGAGUGAAGCGGCAAAAGCUCAAAUUUGAAAUCCCCCCGGGGAGUUGUAAUUUGAAGAUUGCGUCUUGGAGGCGACCGUGUCUA
rnacentral:rRNA from 1 species